CCUACGGGAGGCUGCAGUGAGGAAUAUUGGUCAAUGGUCGGGAGACUGAACCAGCUAAGCUGCGUGAGGGAGGAAGGUACAGAGUAUCGUACACCUCUUUUGUCAGGGACCAAAGGCGGGGACGUGUCCCCGGAUGAGUGUACCUGAAGAAAAAGCAUCGGCUACCUCCGUGCCAGCAGCCGCGGUAAUACGGAGGAUGCGAGCGUUAUCCGGAUUUAUGGGGUUAAAAGGGUGAGCAGGCGGUCUGUUAAGUCAGAUGUAAACGCCUGGGGCUCAACCCCGGCCCGCCGUUGAAACUGGCAGUCUCGAGUUGGAGAGAAGGAUGCGGAAUGCGCGGUGUAGCGGUGAAAUGCAUAGAUAUCGCGCAGAACUCCGAUUGCGAAGGCAGCAUGCCGGCUCCACACUGACGCUGAGGCACGAAAGCGUGGGUAUCGAACAGGAUCAGAUACCCUUGUAGUC
rnacentral:rRNA from 1 species